GAUGAAGAACGCAGCGAAAUGCGAUACGUAAUGUGAAUUGCAGAAUUCAGUGAAUCAUCGAAUCUUUGAACGCAUAUUGCGCUCUUUGGUAUUCCGAAGAGCAUGCUUGUUUGAGUAUCAGUAAACACCUCAACCUCUUCUUGAUUUUUCAAAAGGAGGGUGGACUUGAGCUAUCCCAACAACCUUUACCGGUCGGCGGGCGGCUUGAAAUGCAGGUGCAGCUGGACUUUUAUCUGAGCUAAAAGCAUAUCUAUUUAGUCCUCGUCAAACAGGAUUAUUACUUUUGCUGCAGCUAACAUAAAGGAUAAUUGUCCUCUUUGCUGACUGAUGCAGGAUUUUACGACACUUUAUGUGUUGUUCAACUCGAUCUCAAAUCAAGUAAGACUACCCGCUGAACUUAAGCAUAUCAAUAAGCGGAGAA
rnacentral:misc_RNA from 1 species